GACGAAGGGGGCUAGCGUUGUUCGGAAUUACUGGGCGUAAAGCGUGCGCAGGCGGUGAUGUAAGACAGAUGUGAAAUCCCCGGGCUCAACCUGGGAACUGCAUUUGUGACUGCAUCGCUGGAGUGCGGCAGAGGGGGAUGGAAUUCCGCGUGUAGCAGUGAAAUGCGUAGAUAUGUGGAGGAACACCGAUGGCGAAGGCAGCCCCCUGGGUCAAGAUUGACGCUCAUGCACGAAAGCGUGGGGAGCGAACAGG
rnacentral:rRNA from 1 species